rnacentral:misc_RNA from 1 species
UUUCAGAAUCAAUGAAUUCGCGGAUUUACUAUUUUCGUAGCUUGGACGGUCUGUGUCCAGAUAUAGAGCUUUUGCGAGAUAUUCCACUAAUUUUGGGUCGUGGGCCAGUAACCAGGGUUAAGGAUACCAAGGUGUCCCGGCAUCAAGUUCGUGUGAGCUGGGAUGAUCAGGGGAUUCAUCUAUCACAAACUGGAGAGAAUCCGUCCUAUCUAGAUGGUAGAAUGCUAUCCAAGGAUGAGAAGGUUGAAUUAUCUGAUGGUCAAGUUCUUCAUUUAGUGUCGAACAAGUUUCCCUUCAAAUUGAUCCUCAAAACAGACUUUAUAACUGGUCGACCGAAGAUUACCUCGUCUGAUGCUGAAAAUCUCUCCGGCGGUGUAAAGAGGAACUCCGCCGGCGAAGAGAAAACAGUCAGUUCAAGGGUGGACUAUAAUCAUUGGAGUCAUGGUCUUCUAGCAUCCAUGAAGAAUCCAGAGUUCAAAGUUUUGGAGAAUGAAGAUCAUGUUGUGAUAAAGGAUAAAUAUCCCAAGUCCCAGUGUCACUAUCUAGUCCUCCCUACGGAGAAAAUUCCAAACCUCAAGAGUUUAAAUUCCACCCAUGUGGCCCUUUUGGACCGGUUGGUGGAGACUGGACGAACUUUAACUGCGCGGCAUCCGAGCUCAACAUUUAGAUUAGGAUUUCAUGCUCAGCCAUCCAUGUCACAACUUCAUCUGCAUGUUAUAAGCCAGGAUUUUGAUUCAAGUUUUCUGAAAACAAAGAAGCAUUGGAACAGUUUUACAACUGCUUUCUUCAUAAAUCCUGCAGAAGUUAAAGAUAAACUAGAAUCCAAGAUAGAAUGAUAGAACUAGUUUUGGUCAGACAUGGGGAAACAGAGGCUAACAAAACUCAUACCAUCCAGGGGCAUCUAGACACUGAUCUAUCUGAGUUGGG